AGUACUUUGCUAUGCUUAAUGCUUGUCACAAGGGCUCGAGUGCCAUGAUUUCAGAUCUGAACCUAUUAUGUUUUCAUCAAUAUAUGUGUGUUCUUGAUCCUAUCUUGCAAGUUGUAGUCACCUACUAUGUGUUAUGACCCGGCAACCCCGAAGUGACAAUAGCUGGUACCACUCCCGGAGAUGACCAUAGUAUGAGGAGUUCAUGUAUUCACUAUGUGCUAAUGCUUUGUUCCGGUUCUCUAUUAAAAGGAGACCUUAAUAUCCCUUAGUUUCCAUUAGGACCCCGCUGCCAUGGGAGGGAUGGACAAUAGAUCUCAUGCAAGUUCUUUUCCAUAAGCAUGUAUGACUAUAUACGGAAUGCAUGCCUACAUUACAUUGACGAACUCGAGCUAGUUACAUAUCUCCCCAUGUUAUAACUGUUACAUGAUGAAUGUCAUCUGGCAUAAUUAUCCAUCACCGAUCCAAUGCCUACGAGUUUUUCCUACUGGUCCUUGCUACGUUACUUUGCCGCUACUCCUGUCACUCUGCUACUGUUACCGCUACUGCUCUCACUACUAUCACUGUCACUGCUG
rnacentral:lncRNA from 1 species